AGCGAACGCUGGCGGCAGGCCUAACACAUGCAAGUCGAACGAACCCUUCGGGGUUAGUGGCGGACGGGUGAGUAACACGUGGGAACGUGCCUUUAGGUUCGGAAUAACUCAGGGAAACUUGUGCUAAUACCGAAUGUGCCCUUCGGGGAAAGAUUUAUUGCCUUUAGAGCGGCCCGCGUCUGAUUAGCUAGUUGGUGAGGUAAAGGCUCACCAAGGCGACGAUCGGUAGCUGGGCUGAGAGGAUGAUCAGCCACAUUGGGACUGAGACACGGCCCAAACUCCUACGGGAGGCAGCAGUGGGGAAUCUUGCGCAAUGGGCGAAAGCCUGACGCAGCCAUGCCGCGUGAAUGAUGAAGGUCUUAGGAUUGUAAAAUUCUUUCACCGGGGACGAUAAUGACGGUACCCGGAGAAGAAGCCCCGGCUAACUUCGUGCCAGCCGCCGCCGUAACAC
rnacentral:rRNA from 1 species